UUUGUGAGGUAUUGUUUGUUUUGACUCUACUAAGCCUUUUCCUCGCUCUUUUGUGAGAACCAGUUAUAGCCUUCAGUUCUAGUUUUGAUUCACCUGCCUGUUUGCCUACCUGUGUAUUGCCUGCCUGUGACCACGAUUCCUGCCUUCUACAAAAUAAACACCUGCUGCGCUCUGUGCCCUGUACAGUCUCUGACCAGUGUGAAGGGGGACAUCCAGGCAGCUAAGUUUCAACUGGAGGCCUAUUCACUCACACUCACCCAGCUCAUCCAUAACAUGGUUCCUGUGUCCCUGUUAAUGAGUCAGUGGUGAUGUGGGCACCAUCCUGAUGGAGAAACGUCCACUCAUAACGCUGGCCAACCCCCAUCGUUGGGUGGGCACAACAGGGUGGCACAUAGACCUCAGUGACCACACAAGACAAGAACCUUGCUGAUGAUGGGAGCAUGGUGCUGGAGCAGUUUGACCAUAUCUUGAGUGAGACGGUGGUGCGGUUGGGUGUUCUGCGUGGCUGCGUGGAGAGCCUUGCCCUGAACGUGAAGAUCCAGACCCUAUGGUCAGCUGCCCAGGACCAGAAGAGCCAACUGACCCACCUGGAACAGGACCUGCAGGAGAUAAGACAGGAGCGAGACAGUUUGAAGGACAUCGCCCUGCACCUGCCCCAGACUUGCCCCCAGGCCUCGGGGAUAGAAGGACACUAGGACUGUGCUCCAGGAGGACAUUCAUUUUACUCCCUCCCUGAAGUGCGCACACUCGUUCACUCAACCUCAAUGAUUUAAUAGAGGGUCUACCAUGUUUCUUACAGCAAGAAAAUUGGAAUUAGACAUAACAAUGCUGGGAGGACUCGAAGUUCAGAUGGUGGGUAGGUCUCAGAUAUUUGAAUGCUUUAGGGGAGAUGUAGUCUGUCCCAAAUGGCACCCUAUAGUGCAUUACUUUUGACUAGUGCCUGUAGAGCUUUGGUCAAAAGUAGUGCACUAUGUAGGGAAUGUGGUUCCAUUUGGGACACAUGCAUAGAAGUGUAGGUGGCAUCCUCAGUUUAUUGGUGUUAGUGGACAAUCCUGUGGUUGUGCAUCCCCAUCUACUGCAGUGCAGUCACACAGUUCUACCACUUUGUCUCUAUACUUUUCAAACUCGCCACUAUACUUUUCUGACCUGGCUGAUACCACUUCAAUACUACUGUCCAGUCAUAGGUAGUUUUCCUUGCCCUCUUUGAACUUCUACCAUCAUCAUGCUCUUUCUGUUAGUCCUACCCCCUCACUCCUUUUGGCUUUACUUAUCUUUCCGGAGCUCAUCCUGCUCGCGACUCCAUAUUACCCCUGUCGCCAUAGCAGUGAUCAUUCUCAUUUCAUUUCCCCCUGUAAUAUUUCCAACCUCUGCAGUGUAAUUAAUCAGUGAAUAAUAAGUCCACUAUAGCUGCCUGUUCAACAGCCCAGUGUGUCCUGUCAAGUUUAAAAUAAUGCUGAUUGUCCACUUUGGGGGUAGGUGUGUCUGAACUGCAGUGCUUCUCCAAUGUGACACCUUCAGUUACACUUGAGCAAUUUUCAUCAGCCUUCCAUAAUUAACAAUUAGUCAUUUUUCCCUCCAUAGGGUUCAACUGCACGCACACAGUCAUUCAUUUUGGGAUUCUACAUGUGCCUCUUGCUUUCCCUCCGUCUCCUUUCUCUUUCUCUCUGAGCAAAUGAUCUGUCAAAUGGAAAAGGACAAAAACAAUCAACCUGUUGGCUUUCUCCAUGUGGGUAACAAUGGCUGGAAUACCUACAGAAUUAUAGAAGGUAUAGAAAUCUGUCGCUAGAAAUGGGACCUUUCUAUUUCCGAGAAUUUUGUUAGACCAGAAAUAGGAUAUGAUUGGUUUUAGAUGAUAGCCCGGGUAAACAAAGUAGAAAACAAGGCCUGAAAAUGUAAUGAUAUAUUCCCCCUCUGCAUGUGUGCUCGCACCCAAAAUCAUGUUAUUUUGUUGAUGGUGCUGUUGAUUAUUAUUGGAGAAACUAGCACAGCUAUUGAUGGCAGCCAUCAGACUAUAAAGCACACUAAAUAUAUACUGGAUCAAAUACUGAUGAUGAAAAGCAAUGAUAAAGUGUCUAAUAUCAAUAAAUUGUAUUACGUUCAUAACUUCAGUCUUAUGGACUAUAUUUCUGUUAAAUGUUGGAUCCUUUGAUAUCAAACUGACAAACAUCCCUGCAGUUCUUUAAAUUACCACACGGUGGUAAUCAAGAGUCACUAGCGUUCCUUACAAACCAGAGAACAUCACUUGCUGUGAGUUAGUUGACCCACUAUGGUGGAAUCAUAGGACUCUGGGACCUCUGCACUACUUUAUAUAUCUGUACUGCACAAAGCACAACCCCCCCUGAAACGCACACAAAUUGACACAAGCAGCCUAAUUCUGAUAUUUUUCCACUAAUUGGUCUUCUGACCAAUCAGAUCAACUCUUUUGCCAAUAAUUGGGCAAUGAUCAGAAUUGGGCUGCCUGUAUAACACAGCCUAAAUUCUUGUUGAAUAAUCAUGUUUGUUUAGGUAAGAUACCUAAAUGGCUGGGGGUGAGACUAUGGCCUACUAAUGCUGACUUUACUGUAAGCUACUUUAUUGAGGGAAUAUGUACUUGCUAAGACUGUCAUAUGUGGUUGUCUCACCCAGCUAUCUAAAUUGAAAGGAUGUAAGAGCAUCUGCUAAAUGACUCAAAUGUAAUGUGUAUAUAUGUCACAAACCUAGAUAUAAUAAUGUACACUGAUCAGAUGGUCACAGGAGUCAGAUUAAUUAACCGUUUUUUUCCUUCUCCAGAUUGUCACAGAGUUCCUGCAUGCCUACACAAAACAACACAUUCAUGUCUGUCAGAGUCACUGCUUGAGGGUCGCCAGUGUAGUCACUCUACCACACCAAACAUAUAAUUAAUAUGCUAGAGUCUAAUGCUCUGAGAGCCCCUGGCACAUAUCUAGGGAGGCACAGGGGGUUUUAGAUCAUGCUGAUCUUAAUGACCUCCACACAGUUGAUGGACACUAUAUAAUGUGGGUACUGAGUCCUGAAAACCAUCUAUGCAGGAAAUUCGCUUCCCAAAUUAAAUCAAAUAACAUUUUUGAAAAACGUAUUAAAAUGAUGACCUGCCUUUUACAAUUCAAGCUACAAUAUGGAAUAGUUUUUUCAGCAGUACCACCACUUCAGUUAGAUAUGUGUUUCAGUAUCACUAGGGAAAUGUAGCCUUACUAAUUUCAUAGACAGAGCUCUAGAUGCAAGGACUGACAAUCUCUGAUAUGGACCUUUUCUUUUAACUAGGCAAGUCCGUUAAGAAAACAUUCUUAUUUGCAAUGAGAGCCUAGGAACAGUGGGUUAACUGCCUGUAGAAUGACAGAUUUAUACCUUGUCAGCUCAGGGAAUUGAUCUUGCAACUUUUAAAUUACUAAUCCAAUGCUCUAACCACUAGGCUACCUGGCACCCCAAAGUUAAGCCAGGAUUCAAGCUGAUCAAUGGUAGAUCCACAUUACAACACGUUUGACAUUGAAAUGUAUUUUGGUAUACAGCUGUGAAAGUGAAAUGUAACUCUUCAUAAAGUGAAAUGUAACUCUUCAUAAAGUGAAAUGUAACUCUUCAUAAAGUGAAAUGUAACUCUUCAUAAAGUGAAAUGUAACUCUUCAUAAAGUGAAAUGUAACUCUUCAUAAAGUGAAAUGUAACUCUUCAUAAAUUCAUAGACCGCGCUCUAGAUGCAAGGACUGACAGUCCAUGACAUCUUGUCAUGAUAGUUAUACUUGAAGCGAUACUGUAGGCUACAUUGUUUACAUUCCUAUUUGUAAACAAUAAUCAAAUGUAUUCAUUAAAGCAAACGUAAGAACAUGAA